rnacentral:rRNA from 1 species
AGUGAACGCUGGCGGUAGGCCUAACACAUGCAAGUCGAACGGCAGCACAGGAGAGCUUGCUCUCUGGGUGGCGAGUGGCGGACGGGUGAGGAAUACAUCGGAAUCUGCCCAGUCGUGGGGGAUAACGUAGGGAAACUUACGCUAAUACCGCAUACGACCUUCGGGUGAAAGAGGGGGAUCGCAAGACCUCUCGCGAUUGGAUGAGCCGAUGUCGGAUUAGCUAGUUGGCGGGGUAAUGGCCCACCAAGGCGACGAUCCGUAGCUGGUCUGAGAGGAUGAUCAGCCACACUGGAACUGGGACACGGUCCAGACUCCUACGGGAGGCAGCAGUGGGGAAUAUUGGACAAAGGGCGCAAGCCUGAUCCAGCCAUACCGCGUGGGUGAAGAAGGCCUUCGGGUUGUAAAGCCCUUUUGUUGGGAAAGAAAUCUUUCAGGCUAAUACCCUGGGAGGAUGACGGUACCCAAAGAAUAAGCACCGGCUAACUUCGUG